rnacentral:tRNA from 1 species
GGGCAGGUGCCAGAGUGGACAAAUGGACCUGGCUGUAAACCAGGCGCGAAAGCUACGGCGGUUCGAAUCCGUCCCUGCCCA